UUCAGAGCCAUAUCACCCUGCAGCUCUCACCUGGUUUCCCAGUGAAGCUAAGCAGGGUUGAUCCUGGCUAAUACCUGGAUGAGAGACCUCCUAGAGAAAACUAAGGUUGCUGCUGGAA
rnacentral:rRNA from 1 species